rnacentral:misc_RNA from 1 species
UUUUCACUAGAGUACAUCUCCAAAUAUUAAAACUACUUGAAAAAUCGUCAGUCCCUGGAGCUAGAGCUACAAUUCCGAGCUCCAUAUUACAGAAACUAUAUCAGUGUCAUCAACUCAUAAAUCUAACCCAUUGCUGAUAAAUCAAAACUUGGCAAAAUGUUGGGAGGGUUUGUGUAUGGAAAGAUCGAUGUGUAAGUAAGCU